rnacentral:rRNA from 1 species
AGAGUUUGAUCAUGGCUCAGAAUCAACGCUGGCGGGNNCUUAACACAUGCAAGUCGAACGAGAAAGCGGGAGCAAUCCUGCAAGUACAGUGGCGUACGGGUGAGUAACACGUGGAUUAUCUGCCCUGGAGUGGGGAAUAACGCUGGGAAACCGGCGCUAAUACCGCAUAUUCCCGAGAGGGGAAAGCAGCAAUGCGCUCGAGGAGGAGUCCGCGGCUGAUUAGCUAGUUGGUAGGGUAACGGCCUACCAAGGCUAUGAUCGGUAGCCGGCCUGAGAGGGCACACGGCCACACUGGCACUGAAACACGGGCCAGACUCCUACGGGAGGCAGCAGUGGGGAAUCUUGCACAAUGGGGGCAACCCUGAUGCAGCGACGCCGCGUGAGCGAUGAAGCCCUUCGGGGUGUAAAGCUCUUUCGGCAGGGAAGAUUAUGACGGUACCUGCAGAAGCAGCUGCGGCUAACUACGUGCCAGCAGCCGCGGUAAUACGUAGGCAGCAAGCGUUGUUCGGAGUUACUGGGCGUAAAGGGUGUGUAGGCGGCCUUCUAAGUUUGGUGUGAAAUCUCCCGGCUCAACCGGGAGGGUGCGCCGAAGACUGGGGGGCUAGAGUGCGGGAUGGGAGAGUAGAAUUCCUGGUGUAGCGGUGAAAUGCGUAGAUAUCAGGAGGAAUACCUGUGGUGUAGACGGCUCUCUGGACCGCAACUGACGCUGAGACACGAAAGCGUGGGUAGCAAACAGGAUUAGAUACCCUAGUAGUCC